GGAGUCUGUAUUUACAAGCGUCCUC
rnacentral:piRNA from 1 species